rnacentral:rRNA from 1 species
GCUUACGGCUAUACCACCCAGAGCACGUCCAAUCCCGUCUGAUCUCGGAAGCCAAGCAGAGUCGGGCUUGGUUAGUACUUGGAUGGGAGACCACCUGGGAAUACCAGGUGCUGUAAGCU